rnacentral:rRNA from 1 species
CCGCGUGAGUGAAGAAGGUUUUCGGAUCGUAAAGCUCUGUUGUUAGCGAAGAACAGGAGAAAGAGGCAAUGCUUUUUGGGUUACUGUAGCUGACCAAAAAGCCACGGCUAACUACGUGCCAGCAGCCGCGGUAAUACGUAGGUGGCAAGCGUUGUCCGGAUUUAUUGGGCGUAAAGCGAGCGCAGGCGGUGAUUUAAGUAUGAUGUGAAAGCCCCCAGCUCAACUGGGGAGGGUCAUUGGAAACUGGAUCACUUGAGUGCAGAAGAGGAGAGUGGAAUUCCAUGUGUAGCGGUGAAAUGCGUAGAUAUAUGGAGGAACACCAGUGGCGAAGGCGGCUUUCUGGUCUGUAAAUGACGCUGAGGCUCGAAAGCGUGGGUAGCAAACAGGAUUAGAUACCCUGGUAGUCCACGCCGUAAACGAUGAGUGCUAAGUGUUGGAGGGUUUCCGCCCUUCAGUGCUGCAGUUAACGCAUUAAGCACUCCGCCUGGGGAGUACGACCGCAAGGUUGAAACUCAAAGGAAUUGACGGGGGCCCGCACAAGCGGUGGAGCAUGUGGUUUAAUUCGAAGCAACGCGAAGAACCUUACCAGGUCUUGACAUCCUUUGACCGCCCUAGAGAUAGGGUUUCCCCUUCGGGGGCAAAGUGACAGGUGGUGCAUGGUUGUCGUCAGCUCGUGUCGUGAGAUGUUGGGUUAAGUCCCGUAACGAGCGCAACCCUUAUUGUUAGUUGCCAGCAUUGCGUUGGGCACUCUAGCAAGACUGCCGGUGACAAACCGGAGGAAGGCGGGGAUGACGUCAAAUCAUCAUGCCCC